rnacentral:rRNA from 1 species
GACGAACGCUGGCGGCGUGCCUAACACAUGCAAGUCGAACGGAGAGGACAUGAAGUAUUUCGGUACGGAAUGCUCUCUUAGUGGCGAACGGGUGAGUAACACGUGGGCAACCUGCCCCAGACUGGGGGAUAACAUUGUGAAAACAGUGCUAAUACCGCAUGACAGGGUUCCGGGCAUCCGGGACCCUUGAAAGGAGAAAUCCGGUCAGGGAUGGGCCCGCGUCCAAUUAGCUAGUUGGCGGGUAACGGCCCACCAAGGCGACGAUUGGUAGCCGAACUGAGAGGUUGAUCGGCCACAUUGGGACUGAGACACGGCCCAGACUCCUACGGGAGGCAGCAGUGGGGAAUAUUGGGCAAUGGGCGAAAGCCUGACCCAGCGACGCCGCGUGAAGGAUGAAGGUCUUCGGAUUGUAAACUUCUUUGAUCAGGGAAGAAGAAAUGACGGUACCUGAAAACAAGCCACGGCUAACUACGUG